rnacentral:lncRNA from 1 species
CCCGUCCCAAUUCAUCCCUAUUUUUGUAUAAUUUAUAGCCAAAUCGAAUCUCCAUUGGAGAGGGUAGUAUUAUAGAAAUCAGUUAAUCAAAAUUCGUCCAUUAUAAAUGACAUCUCCAUCUCUAAAACGCAAAAACCCUCUCUCAAAACCUACAUGCAUCCUCAACAAUUCGUGAAUUCAAGCAAGCAAGGACAAUUCUAGGGCUUGUAACUUCAAGUCUUGAUUUUUCUCACAGUUCUUAAACAAAUCAGUGUUCUUGAACAUUAAAAUUUUGGGGCUUUUGAUUUUAAUUGAUGAUUUUGAUAUCAAGUGACAGGUUGAGAACGAAGACACAUAGGACGUGCCUUAGUGAAAUGAACCGGAUAUUUAUUUUAUGUUUUACAUAUGGAGUACUAUUUGUAUUACUUGGAAUUCAUUUCGAUAUGUGACAAAAUAUUUAUACAU